AGUUUGAUCCUGGCUCAGGACGAACGCUGGCGGCGUGCUUAACACAUGCAAGUCGAACGGUAAGGCCCUUCGGGGUACACGAGUGGCGAACGGGUGAGUAACACGUGGGUAAUCUGCCCUGCACAUCGGGAUAAGCCUGGGAAACUGGGUCUAAUACCGAAUAGGACCACAGAACACAUGUCCUGUGGUGGAAAGCUUUUGCGGUGUGGGAUGGGCCCGCGGCCUAUCAGCUUGUUGGUGGGGUGAUGGCCCACCAAGGCGACGACGGGUAGCCGGCCUGAGAGGGUGUCCGGCCACACUGGGACUGAGAUACGGCCCAGACUCCUACGGGAGGCAGCAG
rnacentral:rRNA from 1 species